rnacentral:rRNA from 1 species
GAUGAACGCUGGCGGCGUGCUUAACACAUGCAAGUCGAACGGUGAAGGUGGGAGCUUGCUCCUGCUGGAUCAGUGGCGAACGGGUGAGUAACACGUGAGUAACCUGCCCCGGACUCUGGGAUAAGCGUUGGAAACGACGUCUAAUACCGGAUACGAGACGAGAAGGCAUCUUCAUCGUCUGGAAAGAUUUUUUGGUCUGGGAUGGACUCGCGGCCUAUCAGGUUGUUGGUGAGGUAAUGGCUCACCAAGCCUACGACGGGUAGCCGGCCUGAGAGGGUGACCGGCCACACUGGGACUGAGACACGGCCCAGACUCCUACGGGAGGCAGCAGUGGGGAAUAUUGCACAAUGGGCGAAAGCCUGAUACAGCAACGCCGCGUGAGGGACGACGGCCUUCGGGUUGUAAACCUCUUUUAGUAGGGAAGAAGCGAAAGUGACGGUACCUGCAGAAAAAGCACCGGCUAACUACGUGCCAGCAGCCGCCGCGG